AACGAACGCUGGCGGCAUGCCUAACACAUGCAAGUCGAACGAGGCCUUCGGGUCUAGUGGCGCACGGGUGCGUAACGCGUGGGAACCUGCCCUUAGGUUCGGAAUAACUCCCCGAAAGGGGUGCUAAUACCGGAUAAUGUCUUCGGACCAAAGAUUUAUCGCCUUUGGAUGGGCCCGCGUUGGAUUAGCUAGUUGGUAGGGUAAAAGCCUACCAAGGCGACGAUCCAUAGCUGGUCUGAGAGGAUGAUCAGCCACACUGGGACUGAGACACGGCCCAGACUCCUACGGGAGGCAGCAGUGGGGAAUAUUGGACAAUGGGCGAAAGCCUGAUCCAGCAAUGCUGCGUGAGUGAUGAAGGCCUUAGGGUUGUAAAGCUCUUUUACCCGGGAUGAUAAUGACAGUACCGGGAGAAUAAGCUCCGGCUAACUCCGUG
rnacentral:rRNA from 1 species